rnacentral:lncRNA from 1 species
AAGGAAACUGCUUUGUCUCAAGGAGCUUGUCCAGUCUGCGGCGAGAUGGGAGGCCAUCUGGGCUGGGGGUCACGGGUCCCCAUGUGACUCCUCGAGCCUGAUUAGUGAGCCGUAGGAGGUAGAAAUCCUCCCCCCAAGGAGCUCCGGGCUCCUGGUUUCAGAUACAAUGUCCUUUUUAUAUCUACCCUGUGUCUGGGCCAGGACCUGAUCAUAUGCCUGUUUGGAUUGAGGGCAAAGGGGAGAGAGGGCCAGGAGGGAGAGGAUUAAGAAUUACCCAAGUUCCAUAAACAUGACCGGAGACAGCCCUUAGGACUGGAAUGUGACAAAAGGAAAGUGCCUGGAGAAAUGCUGUGUCUGCAGGAGGGAGAGGGGAACCAGCCAUAACCGGGCUCUGGGCUCUGAGUUUUACAUACAUUCACUAUGCAUGGAAAACCCUGGGAGGACCGAGCAGAAGCCGGACUCUGAAGUCUGAAGUCACACGGCUAAUAGAUGGAGGAGCUGGGAUUUCAUUGUGCGGGUCAGUAGCUUGAUGGAGUAGAGACAAAACAGAAAUCUGCCAGGGUUUACCCGGCACUCUGCAAAGAUCAGUGUGUUGGGGAGAUGCCAGUAUUCAGGCCGCUAGAGAGGACAGUUCUGGUGCAGGUCAAGGUUAGUGCGGCUGUAGUUUUGUGGACCAUGCCUCCAGAUGCUCUCUUCCCUUGACUCGCAUUCUGUGUUCAUCUUCGGAUUAUUAUCUAGUUCCCAGGGCCCUUGCUGGCAGGAAGAGGCAUCCAGAUUGCAGAUGUACUUGUUCCUGUUCCUGGCAAGACCCACUUCCCACCGUGACUGACAAGUUUUGGACCCAGUGGCAACGUGGAGUAGAAGAAAGAGCAUGGAUUUUAGAAUGAGACUGGCUCCCCGACUCAUUAGCCUGCAAGUUCCUUAACCUUUGUAAGAUGCAUUUUCCUCCCUUAUUUGUAAAAUGAGGUUUACUAAGAUCUACCCUGAGAAGCUAUCGUAAGGAAUGCCUAAGCUAGUACUGGCACACAGCUGCAGCUCAAUGAAUGGUAGAGAUUUUCCAAACGCAUUGACAUCCUGAUUUGUCAAUCAGUCUUUUGUGAGUUCGUCUUGCAGCCAUGGAGUAGCAACAGAGUCAAGCAGGCCACCCCUGCCCCAGGAAAUUCCGCUGCUUUUGGUCUGCCAGUGGAGCCCAAGAGUCUGCAUUUAGAAGCUUAGCAGGUUCCCAGCACCACACACCAAAUCCAGUUCCCUUCAGGCUGCAUCUCCGGUUUGUUGGACCUUGGUUUUCCAUGUGUUUUUUUAGCUUUGUUUACUUUCUUGCCACCAGCUCCAAGGAACCCCCAGCCCCUGACUGAGCCAGGCUCUAUCCACCACCCCUUGGAGGGCCAGAGGGAUUCAGGCUCAACCAGCCUUCCUGUCCUUUCUCUCGCUGUGCUCCCAACUUCCAUUUUUCGCUACUGGAUCUAUUGGCCAGAUCUUCCCCAUCAGACCAAAAAGAGGAUGGGAACAACUAUUCAGAUAAUUCAGACACUUAUUCAAGCAAAAAUGAUGAUACUUCUCCUCCUGAAUGAUCCGGAUAGUUGUUUUAAUUCUCAGCUUCACUUUGUCUCUGGAGCCCCAGGCUCUUCUUUGUUCCGUGACUCUAGUUAAAAUUCGGUCCCAGUGAUAAAUAUUUCUGAUCUAAUUGUUUCUUCCACUCCUGUUCCACAGGGGGUGUUUUCAGGGAAAAGGAUCUGUAGGUAAAUGAGAAUUAACUUCAAGCCUGGGCAAUGUUAGAAUCAAAAUAAAGCUGUCAUGGCAGACCUGCUAUCUACAUUUCACUUUCUGGAAGCGCCCCACUCUAUUUCAUCCCUCCCCAACCCCUGACACACGCAGCAGCAAGGAACAAAUCACCAUUUA